CUCUCUCUCUCUCUCUCUCUCUCUCUCUCUCUCUCUCUCUCUCUCUUCUUGAUUGCCCACCUUCUUCAUCUUCCUCUGCAGGUUAUAGUGUAGUCUUAGAAGGAAGGGAGAGGGAAGGUGUUUGUGGCAAUGGAGGAGCAUAGUCAAUUGAAGCGUGCCAUUAUUGAUUCCUCUGCUGGGGCAAUUUCCGGUGGAAUUUCAAGGACAGUAACCUCUCCCCUCGAUGUUAUUAAGAUUAGGUUCCAGGUUCAACUAGAGCCCACAUCUUCAUGGGCUUUACUACGCAAGGAUUUUGCUGCACCAUCAAAAUACACUGGUAUAUUUCAAGCA